GACGAACGCUGGCGGCGUGCUUAACACAUGCAAGUCGAACGAAGCUAGGGGCUUGCUCCUAGCUUAGUGGCGGACGGGUGAGUAACGCGUGAGCAACCUGCCCGUAUCUGGGGAAUAACACAAAGAAAUUUGUGCUAAUACCGCAUAUUAUCUUUGAAGGGCAUCCUUCUUAGAUGAAAGAUUUUAUCGGAUACGGAUGGGCUCGCGUCCCAUUAGAUAGUUGGUGAGGUAACGGCCCACCAAGUCGAUGAUGGGUAGCCGACCUGAGAGGGUGAUCGGCCACAUUGGAACUGAGAAACGGUCCAGACUCCUACGGGAGGCAGCAGUGGGGAAUAUUGGGCAAUGGAGGCAACUCUGACCCAGCAACGCCGCGUGAAUGAUGAAGGUCUUCGGAUUGUAAAGUUCUGUGAUGGAGGAAGAAGAAAGUGACAGUACUCCGAAAGCAAGUCACGGCUAACUACGUGCCAGCCGCCGCGGUAAUAC
rnacentral:rRNA from 1 species